UGAAAAAGGCGUCCCAAGUUCGGAUUGUAGGCUGCAACUCGCCUACAUGAAGUUGGAAUUGCUAGUAAUCAUAGGUCAGCAUACUAUGGUGAAUACGUUCCCGGGCCUUGUACACACCGCCCGUCACACCAUGAGAGUUGGGAAUACCCGAAGCCCAUGUCAAAGUGGUCGAAGGUAGGCUUGAUGAUUGGGGUGAAGUCGUAACAAGGUAAC
rnacentral:rRNA from 1 species